rnacentral:lncRNA from 1 species
CUCAGCAAACUUUUUCAGCAAAGUCCAGAUACCAAAUAUUUUGGGCUUUGCCAUCCAAGAGGCAAAAUUGAGGCCAAUAUGUGUGUGGAGGGGGUGUAUGUGUGUAUCCGUCUCAACUACUCAGCUUUUCCAUUGACGUGACAGCAGUCACAGAAAACACAUAAAAUAAUCAGCAUAUAUGUGCUCUAAUAAAACUUUAUGAAUGUGAAAAUUUGUUUAUUUUUCUUUGGAUGCUUUUUAACCAUUUAAAAACGUAUAAAUUUUCUUUGUUCAUGCACUUUAUAUAUAAAAACAGGUAGAAGGCUGAAUUUGACAUGUUAGCUGGAUUUUGCCAACCUCUGACUGAGAUCCUCAACCAAUGAGUAAUCCUGCAAUAAAGAUGAACGUAUUCUAAGAUUUGUUUUGCUGAAUAUAGAUCUGUGAAUAGAGGUACCUGCAUUAUAUUUCUAUCACUGGAUUUCCCUCAAUUGUUUUAUUCUUAUUAAAAUAAAUAUUGGAUGAAAAAUCCAAAGGCUAAUGGUGUCAUCAAGAUUGGAUUUCAUUCUGCUGUUCCUGAACUAUUUAAUAAUUCCAAAUGAAUAAACUUCUGAGUUUUAAUCCAUCCUUCAAGACCCAGCUGAACUUAUAUAUACCUGAGUAAGUUUCUCUGGUCUUCUUCAGUUUGCAAUAAUGUUAUAUUUAUAAAUUUGUUAAUAUUUUUGGCCUAUGCCAUGAAAUGAACAUUACUAAUAUAUAUUUCCCAUUAGAUUAAAUGCUCUUUUGAAGAGAAAAAAAUAUAUAUGUAUAUAUAUAAUAUAUACAUUAUCUAAAAAAUUCAACUGACAUAACUGUAGCAAUCAUAGACAUUCAUCAAUAUCCUUUAUC